rfam:Triticum aestivum genome assembly, contig: Triticum_aestivum_CS42_TGACv1_scaffold_321463_4BL
AUACUACUCCCUCCGUCCGGAAUUACUUGUCGUCAAAAUGGAUGAAAAUGGAUGUAUUUAGAUCUAAAAUACAACUAGGAACAACCAUUUCUUCGACAAGUAUUUCCGGACGGAGGGAGUACUUG